CGGUAAUACCAGCUCUCCGAGUAGUAGGGACGAUUAUUGGGCUUAAAGCGUCCGUAGCCGGCUUAGCAAGUCUUCUGUUAAAUUCAGCGACCUAAUCGUUGAGCCGCGGGAGAUACUACUAGGCUAGGAGGCGGGAGAGGCCGACGGUAUUCCCGGGGUAGGGGUGAAAUCCUAUAAUCCCGGGAGGACCACCAGUGGCGAAGGCUGUCGGCUAGAACGCGCUCGACGGUGAGGGACGAAAGCUGGGGGAGCGAACCGGAUUAGAUACCCGGGUAGUCCCAGCUGUAAACGAUGCGGGCUAGGUGUUGAGGUGGCUACGAGCCACUUCAGUGCCGCAGGGAAGCCAUUAAGCCCGCCGCCUGGGGAGUACGGCCGCAAGGCUGAAACUUAAAGGAAUUGGCG
rnacentral:rRNA from 1 species